AUACGGAGGGUGCAAGCGUUAUUCGGAAUCACUGGGCGUAAAGGGCGCGUAGGCGGGUUGGCAAGUCAGAUGUGAAAUCCUACAGCUUAACUGUAGAACUGCAUUUGAAACUGCUAACCUAGAGUAUGGGAGGGGGAGAUGGAAUUAGUGGUGUAGGGGUAAAAUCCGUAGAUAUCACUAGAAAUACCGAAAGCGAAGGCGAUCUCCUGGAACAUAACUGACGCUAAGGCGUGAAAGCGUGGGGAGCAAACAGGAUUAGAAACCCCAGUAGUCC
rnacentral:rRNA from 1 species